rfam:Myotis brandtii contig309548, whole genome shotgun sequence.
GGCAGUUCUUGCUUGACGCACCCCAGAAUCAGGCUCCCUCCUCUCUCUUCCAGGUGCGUCACCCAAGAACCGCA